GACGAACGCUGGCGGCGUGCCUAAUACAUGCAAGUCGAACGCAGUGGGGACGGGUGCGUAACACGUGGGUAACCUCCCAUCAGAGGGGAUAACCCUUGGAAACAGGUGCUAAACCGAUACUGAUGUAUGCACCCGCGGUGCAUUAGCUAGUUGGUGAGGUAACGGCUCACCACGGCCACGAUGCAUAGCCGAGCUGAGAGGGGGAUCGGCCACACUGGGACUGAGACACGGCCCAGACCCCGACGGGAGGCAGCAGUAGGGAAUCUUCGGCAAUGGACGAAAGUCUGACCGAGCAACGCCGCGUGAGUGAAGAAGGCUUUCGGAUCGUAAAACUCUGUUGUUAGAGAAGCGGUAUCUAAACAGAAAGCAACGGCUAACUACGUGCCAGCAGCCGCGGUAAUUC
rnacentral:rRNA from 1 species